ensembl:lncRNA CKMT2-AS1 CKMT2 antisense RNA 1
GGUCUUUACAAGCGACUCGUGGGCGUCAAUACUGGGCUGAGUUUGUGGCGCGCUUAGUGAUGGGAUGGCCCUGUGCAGGACGCCGACACGAAAAGAUGAAGAGUUCAAUCCGUGCUGUCUGAACUCACAGUGUAGCAGGCGAGAUAGACGGGAAGAUCGGUAGGGUGGGAGAUGCCGGAAAGGCUUCCCGUGAGACUGGAUAAGAAAUCAAAAAUCUGGUGAAAUUGCCGGCAAGAGGGAGUUAAGGACAUUCCAGGCAGAGGCAAGUUGGUCCUUGCUGGCUGAUCCAGCUUCCCCGUCAGCAUAUGGUGAGCAGUUCGGUGAGAGGACCACACUUCCAAUACUGGCAGUCCAGAUUCCUAAGAUGAGGACACAGCAUCCUGGGCCACUGUCACUAAUACAAAUUUGCCUCUGGAGGGACUCUACGGAAGAUAAUUCCCCUGAAAUUUGGAGAGUUGAAUUAAGCUAGGACUGAUUCUGGCUGGAAUUUGUGGUGGCUACGUACCCUAGAGGGCCUCAAGGAAACCCACGGUUCAAGACAGCCCUGACAGAUUCUGGAGUCUAGAACAGAAAUGGAUUUGAACAUGGGCAAGGCCAACCACCCAGUUCACGGCCUGUGUACAGCAAAGAUUACGUUACAGCCUGAGAGCUAAGCCUGGAAGCUCUUUCAUCCAUCCGUUUGUCCAUCUAUCCAUCCAUCUGCUCAUCCAUCCCUCCAUCUGCUCAACAAACGUUAGAGAAUCAAUCCUUGUGUCAGAUACUGGGGCUGCCCUCAAGGAGCUUUUAUAGAGUUCAGGGUACAGCCAGGUGGGGGAGACAGAUCACUAUAAAAACCUACCACUAUAAUCCAAAGGACAAGAGCAAAAAUAGUAAAGAGGAGAGAAGACCCAAAUUUGCCUGGUGGGUCAGAGAGGGCUUUCUAGAAGAGGUAAAAAAUCUUCGGGGCUAUCACUUCACCUUGCCUGGUGGAUAAAGGGAGGACUUUCCAGAUACAGUGGACAGAAUGUGCAGAGGCAGGAGCCAUGAGUGGCAGAGGCAGGGGAGGGACUGCAGAGACAGGUUGGAGCCAAAGCACGUGGCACUGGAGCCAUAGCCAAAGGAACAAACUGUGAGACCUGGGACUUGAAUUUGGAGGUGGUGAAAAGUGACAAGGUCUUCACAGAAGAGUGAUUUUUUCAACUUAGGGAAGGCUGACCCCAGACCAAUGCUGCCAAAGUGUGGUCUGUGGGCUGUUAGCAGUUCGUGACGAUGUAAGUACAGGAAUUGAGAUUAAGCAUUUAGAACACCUACAGCACUUUGAUAGUCAUUUUACUUUUUAAAUUUUGAGCUGGCAUUUUAUAUGCCUGGUUUUUUUUUGUUUUUGUUUUUUUAUUUUUUUUGAGACAGUCUCGCUCUGUCGCCCAGGCUGGAGUGCAGUGGCGCGAUCUCUGCUCACUGCAAGCUCCGCCUCCCGGGUUCACGCCAUUCUCCUGCCUCAUCCUCCCAAGUAGCUGGGACUGCAGGCGCCUGCCGCCUCGCCCAGCUAAUUUUUUGUAUUUUUAAUAGAGACGGGGUUUCACCAUGUUAGCCAGGAUGGUCUCAAUCUCCUGAUCUCGUGAUCUGCCCGCCUUGGCCUCCCAAAAUGCUGGGAUUACAGGUGUGAGCCACCACGCCCAGCCUUAUUCUCUUUUUCUAAUAGUUGCACUUUAUCAUAUUUUACAAAUGUGUGAGUCUGCUAUGGAUUAGAAAUUAAUAAGAGAUUUUGCCACAGAUAGUUUGAGAAGCCCAGCACUGCCACUCAACAAAUGCUGGUGCAUUCAGAUGGUGAAAUAUUCUGCAGCUAUUAAAGGAGUUAAAACUGCCUCCACUUACCUGGAGGCCCAUCUGUGACACCUUUUUAGGUUAAAAGGAAAAGAAAAACUUGCUUAGGACUGAAUAUGAGCGGUUGCAAUUUGUAACAAUGAUGUAUAUAUACAUAUACAUUUUCAUGUAUUUGUAUGAACAUAAAAGUAUUGAAGGAUAUUCAUCAAACUGCUAAAAGGGUUGCUUCAGAGUAACGGACUCGGAGAAGGCAGAUUAAUUUUCUCUUAAUGGAACUCUGUAUUGUAUCACUUGUAAAAAUAAGCAUGUGUUAUCUUUAUGAUAAAAAAGUAAAAACCUAAAAAAGAAAA